GACGAACGCUGGCGGCGUGCUUAACUCAUGCAAGUCGAGCGGAAAGGCCACUUCGGUGGUACUCGAGCGGCGAACGGGUGAGUAACACGUGAGUAAUCUGCCCUUCACUCUGGGAUAGCCACCGGAAACGGUGAUUAAUACCGGAUACGACCACUCCACGCAUGUGGUGGUGGUGGAAACUUUUUGGGUGGGGGAUGUGGUCGCGGCCUAUCAGCUUGUUGGUGGGGUAAUGGCCUACCAAGGCUUCGACGGGUAGCCGGCCUGAGAGGGUGACCGGCCACACUGGGACUGAGACACGGCCCAGACUCCUACGGGAGGCAGCAGUGGGGAAUAUUGGACAAUGGGCGGAAGCCUGAUCCAGCAACGCCGCGUGAGGGAUGACGGCCUUCGGGUUGUAAACCUCUUUCAGCACCGACGAAGCGCAAGUGACGGUAGGUGCAGAAGAAGGACCGGCCAACUACGUGCCAGCCGCCGCAGUAA
rnacentral:rRNA from 1 species